GAACUGAAGUUUUGAACCUUUAUGAUUGUGGAGAAUCUUUAAUAGUUAUAUUCUAUUCUUGACUAAUUACAAUACAAGGGCAUUCUGUUUUGAAAAAUAAAUAAAUAUUCCCUAUAGUCUUGUUGUUAUUAGUUGUAAGUCUCCCUUUUAAAGUUGAUCAAAAGAUAAGUUCAGUCUAUAUAGCUCUCUUUAUCUUGUGAAAG
rnacentral:misc_RNA from 1 species